AAGUCGUAACAAGGUUUCCGUAGGUGAACCUGCGGAAGGAUCAUUACCAAAUUAUUUUAAUAACCACUUGUGAACCCGAAUUAGAGAUGUUAUGUGGGAGGGAUGCUAAUCAGCUUUGUUGAUUUGAGUAUCUUUUGCAUGAUGUGUUUGAUUCAAAAAUAAAAAACUAUAUUCAUUAUUUGUCUAAAUUAUUUUAUUAAUAUAAAACAACUUUUAACAAUGGAUCUCUUGGCUCUC
rnacentral:misc_RNA from 1 species